rnacentral:rRNA from 1 species
UACGUAGGGGGCUAGCGUUGUCCGGAUUUAUUGGGCGUAAAGAGCGUGUAGGCGGCCAUGUAGGUCCGGUGUGAAAACUGGAGGCUUAACCUUCAGACGUCGAUGGAAACCGUGCGGCUAGAGUCCGGAAGAGGAGAGUGGAAUUCCUGGUGUAGCGGUGAAAUGCGCAGAUAUCAGGAAGAACACCCGUGGCGAAGGCGGCUCUCUGGGACGGUACUGACGCUGAGACGCGAAAGCGUGGGGAGCGAACAGG